rnacentral:tRNA from 1 species
GAAAUAUGUUGUCCAAGUGAAAGCUGCUAACUUAUCACUUUAGCGGUUAAAUUCCGUUUAUAUUUCU